AUUGAACGCUGGUGGCAGGCCUAACACAUGCAAGUCGAGCGGUUGAGGUAGCUUGCUACCGAUGCAGCGGCGAACGGGUGAGUAAUACAUGGGAAUCUGCCUGGUAGUGGGGGACAACGUCUCGAAAGGGACGCUAAUACCGCAUACGCCCUACGGGGGAACGGGGGGGAUCUUCGGACCCCUCGCUAUCAGAUGAGCCCAUGUCAGAUUAGCUAGUUGGUGGGGUAAAGGCUCACCAAGGCGACGAUCUGUAACUGGUCUGAGAGGAUGAUCAGUCACACUGGAACUGAGACACGGUCCAGACUCCUACGGGAGGCAGCAGUGGGGAAUAUUGGACAAUGGGCGCAAGCCUGAUCCAGCCAUGCCGCGUGUGUGAAGAAGGCCUUAGGGUUGUAAAGCACUUUCAGUGGGGAGAAAGGUAAUUCACCUAAUACGUGAGUUAAUUGAUGUUACCCACAGAAGAAGCACCGGCUAACUCCGUGCCAGCCGCCGCCGUAAGAC
rnacentral:rRNA from 1 species